GUGGUAGUGCAUCAGACAAUGAGAUCACUCAUAACACAGCUGAUACCAUCGUGUUACUUGUUAGGAUUGGGAAACACUGGCAAGUUUUGCAACCCGAUGUUACAAGAGUACUGUAGGAAAUUAGCACAAUUUGCUUGAUACAAGAUUAACAACUGCUAUCACUGCCCAAAACCAACUUUUUCUUCUGUGGAUUGAAGUAUAUGCGUCAGCCGAGGAACCUUCUUUCACUGUUGACAGCCUUACCAUCACAAGAGCUAUCUGAGCACAUGAAUAUGCCAUGUGAAAGAUGCAAUCCGUAGCCUGUCCAAUCUGUCCAAGAAAUGCCUCGCUCACAGCAAGCCCUGUGGCUGCGGCUGGGUUUCUCCAAGAGUACUCCAUAGUGGUGGCUUUUGAAAGUUUUUGUUGAGUCCAAAUAUAUAAACUAAUUUUCCGAUUUUGAAUUUUUCAAUGACCUUGGACGCAGAAAUGUUCUAUAUCAAAGUUGUAGUGUUUGACGAGAUUUAAAACUUUAUUGUUGAAAGUUUUCUCAUUUAACAUUACUUAUGAGCCACAAUAUUGAUUGUAAGAUUUAUAUAUAUUAGUAUAAAUAGAUAGUAUCGUAGAAUUAGACAUAAGUGAUUGCAUGGUGUGGUGGUAAGGUAGGGAUCGCGCGAGGUAUAGGUUGUGGGAUCGAAUCUAUGUUGUCACUUAUUAAAAACAUGUGAAAAAUAAAUCAUGUAAGCUGUGGUUAGUCUAGCUAUAUUAGAAAUAUUUUUUAAUUUUUAUUAGCCUCUAAAUAUUUUUAAAAAAUGAGAAUUAUUUAGAGAGAUAGUUGACUUAAGUCAACCACCUCUGAAAAUCGAUUUUUAUCAGCGGUUGACUUAAGAUAACCGCCUCUGAAAAAUGAUUUUCAGCAUCAGUUUUAAAACCACCUCUGAAAAUCACUUAUCUUUAGUGACGGUGGCACUACAGCGGUUGUGCUGACCGCCUCUGAAAACCUAUUUUACCCGCCUCAAAAGAAGUUUUGUGUAGUAGUGAAUGGAGGAAGACAUGGCAACCACCUCCAAUCAAUGGUCACUGUUAAUGGGCAGAUUGCCUCGGUAAAUCAGUAGAGAAAACAAAAAAAAUAAAAAGCCCACAGCCUAGACCUAACGGGCCUUGACCUAGGACUCCACCAAUGCCACUACACGUCAAUAUCGCUAGGGAAAUGGGCCCAGCCCUGUGCGCACCACAAUUGAGGUUGCUUGAUCCGCCGAGUGCAUGUGCCCUGUCGCUGGAUCUGGCCACCGCACCUUCACCGGAGCAGGGGCCACCGUGCCUCCGCCUCACACCACAACACCUCCACUAGAUCGGGCCGCAUGCACCCUCUCCUGUCACAUCCCAAAGGUGAUAAAAGGGGGAGCACGACACUGCCGCCGUGAGGACGAGGAGCGUGCACAAUACUAUAGAGAAACUUAACUGUGGCAUGCAAAAGGCAUUAACUGAGGCUGUUUUUGCAACCGCCUCUAACGAAAGGUCACUGUAAAUCAAUGAUUUACCAAGGCAAUUCAAAUGCCUACCAUGUUAAAUAAAAUAAAAAACCAAAUAAAUAAGAAAACCCAUCGACAGCCCAUCCACAGGUGGCUGCUGCUGCUGCUACUUGCCAAUGCUAGCAUCCAUAGGACCGCUGGGGGUAUGUCGCUUGCCAUCUAAUCGAGCCUUCGGCCACUGGAUCUGGGAGCAAUGGAGGGAGGGGGAGCACCACCAGGUUCGAUCACCCUCACUGUCGCAGUUCGUGCCCAUGAUGCCAGAUCCGGCCAUUCCCACAGCUAUGAUGCUAGUAAUCUGGCCACCCCCAAUGCAUGUGACUCUGGAUCUAUGAGAGAGAGGGUGAGAGACAGAUCCUGCCGAUCUAAGGAGAGAGAGGAUGGGACAUACUUCUACACCGGAUCCACGCUGUCGUGGCCAAGGAGAGCACGUCCACCGCCGCCGCUGUAAGGGAGAGGGUGGCCACCAUCCACCACACCUGCCAGGAGGCCUGCCUCGCUCUCGCUAGGAUGUCAUGUGCCUGCAUUGCGCCCAACAUGAGCACGGGCAUCGCUACCCAGGGGCCUCAUAGAGAGGGAGGGAGUGGAUGAAGCGGUGCCGCCACCGUGCGUCAUGGUUUGCAGUGAGGGAGAGGUUCCUCCGACCAAAUCUGGGAGGGAGGGGAGAGGAACAGGAACCGUCGCCAUGUGCUGCAGUCUGCAGGGAGGAAGAGGAGGGAGAGGUGUUGCUGACCAUAUAUGAGAGGGAGGGAAGAGAUGGAGAUAGUGGAGGAGGGAGCGACGGGGUGGGCAGGUGACUCGGGAUGAGGGAGACAUUGAGUUGGGGUCCGACUAGGACUAGGAGAGAGUGAGGGAGUUAGGAUUUCUAAUGAUUUUCUCUAUAUAUGAGAGAUGGUAUUGGGCUGGUGUGGGCUAGCGGGUUGGGCUUUAUUUACCGUAGCUGUUGAAAUACAAUGCCCGCCUCAGUUAAUGAUUUACGUAGGCGGUUGUGUUACGAUGUCCAUUUCGGUUAAUAUAUAUUAACCAAGGCGGUUGCUGGCAUGGCUACCUAGCCUCGUAUAACCGGGGUGGGCAACAGGGCCACCCGCCUCUGAGCCCAAAAACCAAACACUGUCCAAAAGGAAAAAGUCUACAUAGCCCCCCAAACUAUCUAAAGUGGAAUACUUCACCCUCCAAACUAUAAAACCAGAUAUUCUACCCCCUGAACUUUCAAAACCGGUCAAAUAACCCCCUCGAGUGGUUUUAGAGGGUGGUUUUGUCUUUUUCUUUUUUAUUUAUUUCCGCUGAAUCUUUGAAAAAUCAUAAUAAAUCACAGAAAAAUCAUAAAAUAAAAAAUUUAAUUUUGUUGGACUCCUAACGAGUAGAUCUACAUAGUGAAUAUAUAAUAUGAUAUACUUUAGUACAAAGUUUUUUAUGUAGCUUUAAAUCUAUGUUUUUUGUAAUUAAUUAGAAUAAUUCAUAUAUGU
rnacentral:lncRNA from 1 species